GUGUUGUAUGAAAAGACAAAGUUAGCACUCUCCUUGAUAAAGAUGGAAGAGGUCCUAGUGGCCUUUACAACUUAUAUAUGGUUAAGGCAUUGCCGUCUACUCUGUGGCAUCUAUGUUUCCAUAU
rnacentral:ncRNA from 1 species